rnacentral:rRNA from 1 species
GUAGGGUGCGAGCGUUAAUCGGAAUUACUGGGCGUAAAGCGAGCGCAGACGGUUACUUAAGCAGGAUGUGAAAUCCCCGGGCUCAACCUGGGAACUGCGUUCUGAACUGGGUGACUAGAGUGUGUCAGAGGGAGGUAGAAUUCCACGUGUAGCAGUGAAAUGCGUAGAGAUGUGGAGGAAUACCGAUGGCGAAGGCAGCCUCCUGGGAUAACACUGACGUUCAUGCUCGAAAGCGUGGGUAGCAAACAGGAUUAGAUACCCUGGUAGUCCACGCCCUAAACGAUGUCAAUUAGCUGUUGGGCAACUUGAUUGCUUAGUAGCGUAGCUAACGCGUGAAAUUGACCGCCUGGGGAGUACGGUCGCAAGAUUA